UCCUGACAGGAUCUGUGGUGGGC
rnacentral:piRNA from 1 species